rnacentral:rRNA from 1 species
GAUGAACGCUGGCGGCGUGCCUAAUACAUGCAAGUCGAGCGAAUGGAUUAAGAGCUUGCUCUUAUGAAGUUAGCGGCGGACGGGUGAGUAACACGUGGGUAACCUGCCCAUAAGACUGGGAUAACUCCGGGAAACCGGGGCUAAUACCGGAUAACAUUUUGAACUGCAUGGUUCAAAAUUGAAAGGCGGCUUCGGCUGUCACUUAUGGAUGGACCCGCGUCGCAUUAGCUAGUUGGUGAGGUAACGGCUCACCAAGGCAACGAUGCGUAGCCGACCUGGGAGGGUGAUCGGCCACACUGGGACUGGGACACGGCCCAGACUCCUACAGGAGGCAGCAGGAGGGAAUCUUCCGCAAUGGACGAAAGUCUGACGGAGCAACGCCGCGUGAGUGAUGAAGGCUUUCGGGUCGUAAAACUCUGUUGUUAGGGAAGAACAAGUGCUAGUUGAAUAAGCUGGCACCUUGACGGUACCUAACCAGAAAGCCACGGCUAACUACGUGCCAGCAGCCGCGGUAA